rnacentral:rRNA from 1 species
AUUGAACGCUGGCGGCAGGCUUAACACAUGCAAGUCGAGCGGAGAGAGGUAGCUUGCUACUGAUCUUAGCGGCGGACGGGUGAGUAAUGCUUAGGAAUCUGCCUAUUAGUGGGGGACAACAUUUCGAAGGGAAUGCUAAUACCGCAUACGUCCUACGGGAGAAAGCAGGGGAUCUUCGGACCUUGCGCUAAUAGAUGAGCCUAAGUCGGAUUAGCUAGUUGGUGGGGUAAAGGCCUACCAAGGCGACGAUCUGUAGCGGGUCUGAGAGGAUGAUCCGCCACACUGGGACUGAGACACGGCCCAGACUCCUACGGGAGGCAGCAGUGGGGAAUAUUGGACAAUGGGCGGAAGCCUGAUCCAGCCAUGCCGCGUGUGUGAAGAAGGCCUUAUGGUUGUAAAGCACUUUAAGCGAGGAGGAGGCAACUUUAGUUAAUACCUAGAGAUAGUGGACGUUACUCGCAGAAUAAGCACCGGCUAACUCUGUGCCAGCCGCCGCGGUAACAC